GACGAACGCUGGCGGCGUGCUUAACACAUGCAAGUCGAACGGAAAGGCCUGCUUUCCCUUGUGGAUUGCGGGUACUCGAGUGGCGAACGGGUGAGUAACACGUGAGUGAUCUGCCCCCAACUUGGGUAUAAGCAUGGGAAACUGGGUCUAAUUCCCGAUAGGACUGCAGGGUGGUGCCUGUGGUGGAAAACGAUUUUCUAGUGGUUGGGGAUGAGCUCGCGGCCUAUCAGCUUGUUGGUGGGGUAAUGGCCUACCAAGGCGGCGACGGGUAGCCGGCCUGAGAGGGUGGACGGCCACAUUGGGACUGAGAUACGGCCCAGACUCCUACGGGAGGCAGCAGUGGGGAAUAUUGCACAAUGGGCGGAAGCCUGAUGCAGCGACGCCGCGUGGGGGAUGACGGCCUUCGGGUUGUAAACUCCUUUCGACCGCGAGGAAGCCACCUGGUUGGAAGGGUGGUGACGGUAGUGGUAGAAGAAGCACCGGCUAACUACGUG
rnacentral:rRNA from 1 species